rnacentral:misc_RNA from 1 species
AUUGGAUACAAUAUUCUCCAUGAGCAUAGUUUGCCAAUGAAUGAUAAUUGGUAUUGGAUUAGCAUCGGUGUUUUAUGGCUCUAUGCGGUGCUUUUCAACCUCGUUGUGACUUGGGCCUUAACCUAUCUUAAUCCUCUCCGGAAGGCUCAAACAGUGGCUGAUCCAGUUGAUGCCACAGAAGAAAAUUCUGCUAGAAAUGCUAAUCAGGGGACUCAGUUUAAUGGAACAUCUGCUAAGGAGGACAAUAAAAAGACGG